CGGUAACAGGCCUUCGGGCGCUGACGAGUGGCGGACGGGUGAGUAAUGCGUGGGAAUCUGCCUUAUGGCUGGGGACAACCAGUGGAAACGCUGGCUAAUACCGAAUACCGUCUACGGACGAAAGCGGGGGAUCUUCGGGCCUCGCACCAUAAGAUGAGCCCACGUCUGAUUAGCUAGUUGGUGAGGUAAAUGCUCACCAAGGCGACGAUCAGUAUCCGGCCUGAGAGGGUGGACGGACACACUGGGACUGAGACACGGCCCAGACUCCUACGGGAGGCAGCAGUGGGGAAUAUUGCACAAUGGGCGCAAGCCUGAUGCAGCCAUGCCGCGUGUAUGAAGAAGGCCUUCGGGUUGUAAAGUACUUUCAGCGGGGAGGAAGGUGUUGAGGUUAAUAACCUCAGCAAUUGACGUUACCCGCAGA
rnacentral:rRNA from 1 species